rnacentral:misc_RNA from 1 species
GCCUGUUCGAGCGUCAUUAUAACCACUCAAGUUUCGACUUGGUAUUGGGGUUCGCGGUUUCGCGGCCCUUAAAAUCAGUGGCGGUGCGUCUGGCUCUAAGCGUAGUAAUUCUCUCGCUACAGGGUCCGGGUGGUUGCUUGCCGGAAUCCCCCACUUUUAUAGGUUGACCUCGGAUCAGGUAGGGAUACCCGCUGACUUAA